UGUAAACAUCCCCGACUGGAAGCUGUAAGAUUCAACUAAGCUUUCAGUCAGAUGUUUGCUGC
rnacentral:pre_miRNA from 1 species